CAUGGUGGCGGCGCCCCCUUUGUGGCUGAUUUGUUAAAGUUUCAAAUGGGCCCCGGGGCAACCACACAGAAGGCAGAGGAGCCGGAGAGCCUGGUGGCGGUGAGCUCUCUUCCAUCAGGAACUCCUUGGCUUCCACAGGA